UAUUAAAAUAAAGUAAUUGUAGUUACUGGAAAAAUAGAUAUGUCUGUUUUAUACGUCAAUACUUUGAAUGAAAAGCCAUUGUCCUUUCUAUACAAUGAUGCCUUCGUUGAGUUCAGUGAACAGUGAAAACAGAAACUACUGGUUAGGUAAAUGGACUUGGCAAACUUUAUUUUGGCCUUGUCUCGUUGAAGAAUAUUCUUUACUUUAUAGUUCUCUUUUCAAUAUAUUUCCCUCUUUCUCUAGUUUUUUCCUUUUUUUUUUGUUAUUUACAGAUCAGAAUACAGCUUUGUGCAGUUUGAGAAAUAAUAUGUUGAUAUACAUAUAUAUGUUGAAUAUAUAUAACGUGCAAUGAACUUUCUCAACCUUCGAGAUCCUGAACCAUGAGAGGAGACCAUUUUUCCCUUUCAUCGAGUAAAAUGUAUUUUUAGUCGUCUGUGUUCUUCGACGCUGUACAAAAAGGAAGGAAAGAGUGCACAAAUAUAAUAUCGAGUAUACAUUUAAAAGAAGAAAAAACAUUAAAUCGUACCAAUAACAUAAUCAACGCUUAUUCAAUGCAACCCCUCGACAUACACGUGAUGACUCAUCACUGAUCGUUCUCAAGUAAUUUCCGAUUCACUUAUAAGCGAUCUGAGAGAAACCAUAGAAAAUGUGGAAAAAGAUAUGGGACUUUAAAACAACAACAACAACAACAACAACAACAAAAAAACAACAUCAAAGUUCUAUAUUUCAUUAAUAUAUCUAUUGCAACGGAUCGAUAUAGCAGAGAUUGUAAAGAAAAAUAAAUUCAAGGAUGCUUAUGUAGACAUUUUUUGCUUGAAAAUUACAAACAAACGUGAAAUAGAAUACAUAUCGUCCAACUCAUCGAUUGCAGCAUGAAGAAGUGAAACGUCAUUCGCGAUCAACCUCGAUUCAUUUCCUUCGAAGGAUAAUAUGUUGUGUCAGGAUUUUGAAAUGUAUUCAACAACAUGAUCGCUCCAAUUUCAUUGCAACACACACGAUUUCUAACAGACAUCAUUUUAUAUUGCAUUGAAGCAAUUUAUCAAAACAAACAGGAAGACAAUAAUUAAGAUUCGAUGUUUAUCUUUACAACACGUUCAAAAAAUUCAAAUUCAAGAACAAUUGAAUUAAACUACGACAAAAUUUGAUCUGACACCAAAGAAUAUUUUGAAAAAAAUAUUUAUAAUUUAUUAACAAUGUUAAUUGUUUAAUCGAUACA